UCUCGGUUCUCAUUGUGCUGGGCAUUGUAGUACGUGUGCAGCCCAAGGCGUAAGGGCCAUACUGACCUGACGUCGUCCCCACCUUCCUCCCAGUUGAUCUGGGCAGUCUGACUAGAGUUCCCGGCUUAACCUGCUGGCACUUAACCCCAGGGGUUGGGCUGGUGGCGGAAUUAACCCCACAUCCCCCCGACACAAGUGA
rnacentral:rRNA from 1 species